GCCGGGCAUGGUGGCGUGCGCCUGUAAUCCCAGCUACUCGGAAGGCUGAGCCUGGAGGAUCGCUUGAGUCCAGGAGUUCUGGGAUGCAGUGCACUAUGCUGAUCGGGUGUCUGCACUAAGUUUGGCAUCAAUAUGGUGACCUCCCGGAGCUGGGGAACACCAGGUUGCCUAAGGAGGGGUGAACCGGCCCAGGUUGGAAACGGAGCAGGUCAAAACAUCCCUAAUCAUAAAUUUUAUUUUAUCAUAAUAUAUUAAAAACUAAGAGUUUUCUUCUUGGGCACUUAGUUCCUAUAGGUUUAAU
rfam:Dipodomys ordii contig_39940, whole genome shotgun sequence.